AUUUAAGCGUUAGCUGCCCUCUCUCCUUGCUCAGCGCUGUGCAAAAAAAUAAAAUUCCUACUUUCUUCCACCACACCCGGUGUCAGACAUUGGCUUGCUGCGCAACCAGUGUAGCAACUAAAAGCUCUGGAAAUCUUUUAAACAAAGCCUCUCCCUUGCUCUCAGCUGAUGAUUUCUCUCCUACUUCGCAGAGAAGAUACAGGCCAACGGGCAGUAAGUUCUUCAGCAUUCUACCUCCCCCCAAGCCUACAAACUUAUCUGCAACCCUGUCAGUCUUUGCCUUUUCCUUAUCUUCUCUGUGGUGAAGCUUGCUCUUCUAAGGUCAUUUUCUCACCAUAUACGCUAAAUCAAUGGUACUUAGAGUAUGAUCUCUGGACUUGCAGCAUCAGCAGCACCCGGGAGCUUGUUAGAAAUGCAAAUUCUCAUGCCCCAUUCCUGAUGUACUGAAUCAGAGACUCUGGGAGUGGGGCCCAGUAACGUUUAUUUUAACAAGUCCACAAGGUGAUUCUUAAGUUUGAGAACCACUGCUCUAAAUUCUUACUUUUCACAGUGGGUCCCCUGGCCCAGCAGCAUUGGCCUCACCUGGGAGUUUGUUAGAAAUGUAGACUGUUAGGCCCCAACACAGACUUACUCAGAACAUCCAUUUAACAGAAUCCUGCAGGCGAUUCAUAAGCAUGUUACAGUUUGAGAAGCACG
rnacentral:lncRNA from 1 species